ensembl:rRNA 5S_rRNA 5S ribosomal RNA
AACCACAGCUAUAUCACCCUGCAGCCCAAGACUGGUUGCCCACCGAAGCUAAGCAGGGUUGAGCCUGGUCAGUUCUUGGGUGGGAGGCCUCCUGGGAAAACUAGGUUGCUGCUGGAUA